CUCUACAUCUACAUCUAACACUUCGAAGCUCUACAUCUAACUACAAGCUUACUAGCUUGAUGGUUACUGCGAGUGGCUUUAAUUGUUUUAUAAUCAAGCAGGUAGAUUGUCUAGUGUGCGCUUCCUUGUAUACUGAAGCCUCGUUCACACCAGACACGGCAUAAAAUUACCGUACAGUAAUUUAACGCAAACAUCGCAGUCAAUCUACGCAAAAAACGCAAUCAAUCUUCCGCAUCUUCAUAACCAGUAUCGCAAAGAUGGAGGAGAGCCUCAUUUUGCUAGUGUCUAGCCACCCUUGUUUGUAUGACACUACCUCGGACGUUUACCGAGACCUAAAUGUUAAAAAUGCUGCGUGGAAAAGUGUAGCCAUGCAAGCAAAGAUGCCAGCCACAAGCUCUUCACAAGCUACCAGACCCAGACCCCAUACACGGAGGCAUCGGACAGGACAAGCCACCCCCAACAUGACGCCAUUUCAGCAGCGCCUCCUGACUGCCAUUGAGGUAGAAGCCACCAUUCCACCAAGACCCGAUGAUGAGGAUGAGCUUUUUGCUAAAACCAUCGUGCCCUCACUAAAAAGACUACCAACACAGAAGAAGGCUUAUGUAAAAAUGCAAAUUCUCCAGCUGCUUUAUGAUGCAGAAUUUAAUUAGAUUAUAUGAAAAUAUGACGUCCCAGGAUUUCCUUCUACAUGGUGCAACUGUUCCAGCCCUGCAUCACACCCACCCACACACACACACACACACAUAGAACCACAUCACAUAAACUCAUUCAAUAAAGUGCUUUUUUGGAAAUGCUUGUUUAUUGUUGAAAU
ensembl:lncRNA